rnacentral:rRNA from 1 species
GAUGAACGCUGGCGGCGUGCCUAAUACAUGCAAGUCGAGCGAACAGAUAAGGAGCUUGCUCCUUUGACGUUAGCGGCGGACGGGUGAGUAACACGUGGGUAACCUACCUAUAAGACUGGAAUAACUCCGGGAAACCGGGGCUAAUGCCGGAUAACAUUUAGAACCGCAUGGUUCUAAAGUGAAAGAUGGUUUUGCUAUCACUUAUAGAUGGACCCGCGCCGUAUUAGCUAGUUGGUAAGGUAACGGCUUACCAAGGCAACGAUACGUAGCCGACCUGAGAGGGUGAUCGCCCACACUGGAGCUGAAACACGGUCAUGAGUCCUACGGGAGGCAGCAGUAGGGAAUGGUCCGCAAUGGUCGAAAGCCUGGCAGAACAGCGGCGCGUGAGUGGUGACGGUCUUCGGAGCGUAAAGCUGUGUUAUUAGUGGAGAACAGAUGUGUAAGUAACUGUGCAGGUCUUGACGGUACCGAAUAAGAAAGCAACGGCUAACUACGUG